CACGCAGCUGAUUUCUUUAAAAGAUAGACAGGAACAUGGGCAGGAUGUUUAUACAGCAAAAUGUAAACAUUUUCCCUGGCCUUCUUUAAAUAAAAAAUCAAGCAAAAAGCCCCGCUAGAUCAGCUCAUACUCAAUCUGAUGCAUUAUGUCCGUUUUAGACAGCUCCUUGUGUAUGGAUAGGACUUUUCAACGUAAAUGCAGAAAGAGAUUUCAAUCAUGUAUAAUUAUUAUGUUCACACAGGAGAACUGAGGGAAAGAGCUCUGAGCCCAGCCGAACAUUGAGCACUGAAACUCGGCUGAGGACUUUAGAUCGACGCCCACCAAACACUCUCUCCUCAGAAUGGUGCUCGAAUCAAGCCCUCUGUGAUGGAUGAGAGAGAGAGGGUUUUCCAGUGAUGGCAACAGUUCCUAUGACAACCAGACCUCCACCGGGGGAUUGCGUCUGUCAGACAGUGCUAAUGAUAAUUGAGAGGUACGGAUCAAAAAGAUUGAGUAUGGCUGUAAUCUCUCCUCCAGCGGAAUACCAGAGAAACCGCUAUGAGAUGACAAUUUUCCCCUCUCACCACCGCCCUGCUUAGUCCUGCACUGCUCUACACUGCAUGCUUCUACUCUGCUCUAUACUAUAUGCUUCUACUCUGCUCUAUACUAUAUUGCUGCUGGAGGCCUCCCAGCCUGCCCCACACAGGGAAGAGAGUGAAUGGAUAAUGUCACUGUGUGUGCAACCUCCUUCGGUGUCUCCCUUCCCUCAGCCUCACACACAACACAGGGCCAGUCCAGGGCAGUUUGUUUCAGAUGCCAGGGAAUAUAUCAACAGGGAGAACUCAAUCAGAAGAAAGGGUCAGAGUAGGACAUCACAGAGAGAGGGAGGGAAGUCAGACCACAGCCAGCUCUGAUACAGGUUACUUACAGAGGCUUUGAUAGUUGCUGAUGGGACUUUGAUUGGAGCGUAAGCAGGUUUAUAUGAUGCAUGUUUAUAUGCGUGUUUACUCACAGACCACCAUCUCUCUCUCUCCCGUUCUGAAGGGGGAUUUUCCUGUGGCGAGCCGCUUCGGAAAAAGCAAUUAAGAAUUCCCAAACAGUGCACAACAAUGGGAGACGUCGUUCUGCAAUGCAAGUUCCGAAUCCAAGUCAGUCCCUUACGGUUUUCCUCUGAAACGGUCCCUGGCUAUAUUUAAUCCGCCCUGAGAGCAGAACCAACCUACAUACAAACCACAAAUUGAAACUAUGUGGAGGUGGUUUGUGGAGUGUGGGCUAAGUGGGGAUGGUAAUUGUCUAUUGAGAAGCUUAGGCCUCGCUAUUCUGCCUGCAAUAAACAGGCUUGGCAGCCCAUAACAUGAUACCCCUGCCUCCACUCCACUGUUUGAGUUGGGGAGCAGAUCCUCCUUGUCUGUGGGAACCCAUGGCCCAGCAGUGGUCGGAAUCAGUCAGGAAUGCUUUGGAAUGGUAACACAGCGGAAGGCUAGGGUGGGAAAAAGGCCAAGAGCAUUUCCUGAACAGAGGGGGGUCCCAGAGAAGCAUCACACUUCACUGGCAUCAUAUGACAGGGAUCCCACCAGGCCUGAGCCCAUGAUCCCGAUUGGAGGAGAGAGAUGCGGUAGGGGAGAGGAGGGUGAAGCUGGAACAGAAGAGAGGUGGAUACGCAAGAAAGGCAGAGUGGUGAGGUGAGAUGGAUGCAUUGGGAUGUUUGAGUCAGAAAAGGGGAGUCAGGGGGAGAGACACAUUCUGCUAAAAUGUACAUCUUUAAUUUACCCUGAGUGAAGUAAUGCAGUCUGGACUGGCUGGCUGGCUGGGUUUGGAUGAAUGUCUGAGUGUGUUAUACCACUACUUUCAUGAAGAGGACUUCACAGUCUCUAAUUUCUGCCCACAACAAAGUGCCUUCCACUGUAUCUGUGAGGAAUAAACAGUAUAUACUGUCAAGGUCUCCAGAGAGGUCACUGAGACCACGUGGAAGACUGGGAGUUCUUAGACCACUGCUACUGAAAGACCUGCAAGAAUCUGUGCAGCAGUGUGGGGUAUCCUACAUACAUUCUAAAAGACUGUUCCCUCUCACCACAGCAAAGACAAUGUGGUGAAUAUUUUGGCACAGCACAGGCAUGUCAGAAUGAUUCUGAGUAUAUCCAGUUAACUGAAGGUCUGAAAUAUAACUUUACUUAGUAACACGUGAUACUUUGCAACACCCUGCAACAGUAAGUGAUGAAUGCUUUGGUUGAGAGCAGUAGAUCAGACGGUGUUGAAAACUGUGAAGCAGACAGGUUUUGCAGCUGAAAUUGGACAGUACAGUAUAUCUGUCAGAGUGUGUGUGUUUGUCCAGACCUAUGAAUCGGUGUGUGUGUAUCCAGACUGGCGUGGACAGCCAGUCCCUGCUCCCUGGGGCUUGUGUAAAUGUCGUGAGGAUCUCAGGAGGAAUCUUUCCCCUCCAGUCGUCAAAGGGCUUUUUAUUUCCACCUGCUCCCGGCCUCUUUCCGUUGGUCUGCUCUAUAACAAUGGUGCUGGAAAGGCAGCAGAGUGCAGGGUGACAGCACAGAGAUUGAUGCUAGAUUGUGUUUGGCCCUUUUUCAGAUAGGGGCCUUUGAAGGGAAGUUGCACCCCCCCCCACCAACACUACGACCCCUCCACUACCAUAUCCACCUCCUCUCCCUCUAACACUGGGCUUAGCAGAGGGCAAAGUGCUGAUCAGGCCUUUCUCCCAGAUCCCUUUUUACAAAAGUACCAAUCGCCUGAAAAGGCAACUUGGCAGGCGGUGGUAAACAGGCUUUUCACUACUCGUAAAUCAAUUCACCACUACAUGAAACAGGAUGAAGCUCAUUUACGCCACGCAGACGGUCGAACCCGAGCCCAGAGACGCCCCACCUCGCCUCCGGCUGCUCCCUCUCUCUCGUCAGGCCCCGGGGCUCUGGGCAGAAAAGAGCUACACGCUCAUCAGGACAGCAUUCUGUCUGUUUCACCGAAGUGGCCUGGCGAAGAGGGUGAUCCAUCACCUCAAAUGUCUUUUUUUCUAAUGUUCUGUUUUCCUCUCUAUCUCUCUGUAGGCUGGAGUGGGCAGGCAUGCGGGUUUGGCCACAGGAAGCCAUGAAUUCCUCGGAGAACAGAGGGUGUCAGGGCCCAGAACACGACUUGGGGGAGUGACAUACUGUACCUUGUAACGUCUCAUAAUCCUCCUAGUUGACCCCUGACCCCGGCCUGCGUUUGUAUCAGGUCAUCGACGUGAGGAAUUGUAAUGAGUCACUCCAGCAGUGUGUUUACCUUCUGGAGUCACGCACGGAAGGAAAUAAGGCACGGUCUUCUAAAAGUGUCAAAGUGAGUGAGAAUAGCAGCAGUAUUAGAGCAGAGCCCUGAUUCAUCUCACUGUGACUGACACUGGGUUUAUUUAACCUAUUCACUACUGUAGGGAGACUAGCUACAGAUCAGCCAAAACAAGGAGUAAGUCUACAAUAUACCGCACUGUAUGAAAACAUAAGGUAUGAGAUUAAUAGUGUAAUUCUGUAAUUGAAGUCUGAUUCAUAGUUUGGUUCACUCAUUGAGUGAAAUGAUCCGUGUACUGUAGUAUGUAGGUACAGCUUGUUUUUGCUAUCACUGUGUAAUAUGUUGCUAAUAAUCCGAACAUGUAUUAUUUUUGUCAUAAUUUUCUGCUGACUGUGUUGCAGUCGUUCCAGUUUUUUGCUAUGCCCAAUGAAAUUAGGAGAGAUUAAGUAAUUUCCUUUCUCUGUCUCAUGCAACAAUCAUAAAUGAGGUGAUUUUUCUGUGUAAUAAAAAUGUAUUGCAAUACAUUUCUGACUCUCCCAGAUACAGAUUAUAUUAUACGCUUUAGAGGAGAAAUCGCUGCACUCCCAAAUACAUUGUUUUUUUAUCUUGAACUUGAAACUGGAAUGAGUAUGGAACUGUGGCCAACGCCUGUGAUUAAAAUACAAUGUCCUGGCCUACCAUCACGCUGUAGCCUUCGACACUGUGGGCUUGUGUGAUUGCACAAUUGUUGUUUUUGAGCAAGUGCCCUUGUUAGUUUUACUCUGUAAAUAAAUGUGUGCUUCGAGCUGACAAUUCAUCCUCUGUUACUUUCUUUCCUCCUUAUAUUGGAGAGGAGAACAUCAUCACUGACCAGUGUCUCCACCACACACACACACACACACACACACACACACACACACACACACACACACACACACACACACACACACACAC
ensembl:lncRNA